UUAAUUAUCGUUGGUGUUUUUUUUUUUUUGCCUAAAAUAAUCAUCCUUGGUGUUGUUUCCCAUGAAGGAGUGAUAUAAAGGGGGAAGAACCCUAGCUAGAGAAGGCACACUACUUGAUCUUAUCCGAGCAGGGGAGCGAGGACUCUCGGACGGCGGAUGAGCCGCCCUCCCUCCGCCGCCGCCGCCGCCGCCGCGUUGGGCUGCCGGCGGCUCUCCGUCGCUUCUGUCUGUCCCGUCCUGCGAUGAAGACAGCCCGCGGUCAGAGCCUCUCUCCUAUAUAUUGGAUUGGGCAGUGAUGGCCGCGCGGGCUCUCCCACAUGAUCAAUCUGUACGAUUUCAUUUCUUCAUUUGCACGUGGUUGCUGAUCGCAUUGGAGCUUGGUAUGUCGGCCCACGCCGCUAGUGUCGAGAAGGCAUCUUUGCCGCGUUAAGGCUGAGGCUGAAGGAAGUUGGAUUUGAUGCAGAAGCAGCUGCUCGAGCUGAUGAGCUGCUGAGGGCUAUGUGUUGCAUAAUGGCCUCCUGGCGAAUGUGCGCAUGAAUGGAACAUACUUAAGCAAGGGUUGCCCAGAGUGAUGAGAAGGUGAUUCUGGCUUAAUGGGAAACUGGAGUUGUAUCGUGUGGAGUUUGGCUCUCUCGUCGUUGGAAACGUUCAUAGUUAUGACCAUCAAGAUCAGUACGGCUUUCCCUGUUUGACAAAUUUGUAAUAAAACAAUCUUGUGGCUGAGUAGUUACCUAAUUUCAUGUUCUUGUA